AGUGAACGCUGGCGGUAGGCCUAACACAUGCAAGUCGAACGGCAGCACAGUAAGAGCUUGCUCUUACGGGUGGCGAGUGGCGGACGGGUGCGGAAUACAUCGGAAUCUACUUUUUCGUGGGGGAUAACGUAGGGAAACUUACGCUAAUACCGCAUACGACCUACGGGUGAAAGCAGGGGAUCUUCGGACCUUGCGCGAUUGAAUGAGGCGAUGUCGGAUUAGCUAGUUGGAGGGGUAAAGGCCCACCAAGGCGACGAUCCGUAGCUGGUCUGAGAGGAUGAUCAGCCACACUGGAACUGAGACACGGUCCAGACUCCUACGGGAGGCAGCAGUGGGGAAUAUUGGACAAUGGGCGCAAGCCUGAUCCAGCCAUACCGCGUGGGUGAAGAAGGCCUUCGGGUUGUAAAGCCCUUUUGUUGGGAAAGAAAAGCAGCAGGUUAAUACCCCGCUGUUCUGACGGUACCCAAAGAAUAAGCACCGGCUAACUUCGUG
rnacentral:rRNA from 1 species